AAGGCGGGCGGGAGAGACUCAUCCGCUUCCUGGAUCACCGGCCAGGCAUUACCGCUUCCGGGGAGCGCCGCCGCCGGGAGAACCCGGAAAAGGGGGGAAUGCAGCGCAGGGGUGGAGGGGAAGCGCGGCCCGGGGGACGGAGGGUGCCCUGACACUGCCGGGUGCGCCGAGGCAGCUGAGGGGCAGAGCCCCCCGGUCCGCCGGCACCCGGCACGAACCAGGAGAACCGCAGGAUUCUUAGGGCUGGAAGGACCUCUGGAGACCACCCAGUCCAGCCCCCUGUGCCGAGGGAGGGUGACCUGGAGCAGGUGACACAGGAACGCGCCCAGGGCCGUUUCUCCUCGUCCCGUCGCUGGGCACCACCGAAAAGAGCGUGGCACCGUCCUCUGACACCCGCCUUGGAGAAAUUUAUGUGUGUAGGUACAGAAAAGGAGCAUCCUCACAGGAACUCUGCAGCACAUGUUUCGUCCUUUGGAGCCUGUGAUAUUCCCAUGGCUGUUCUUGGUAGUUCAGUGGAAGUGCAUUAGGGAUUAUGUUUUCCACUGACCUCAAAUACUUCAGGCACUUUUGUUGCAGGCCACCUUGAAGAUAUGCUUUAGAGAUCAUAGUAAAUCAGGCCCUGUAAUUCACUAAUGUAAUUCACUAGUCAGAUUCUUGGAGCAUGGAAACCAUGAAGAAGAAAGGGUGAGGAGUUGUGUGCAUGGAGAGUGAGCACAGAGGGAGGAUUACAGGGAAGAGGAAAGAGCACACAGCAUGGGCAGGUGAGUAAUUGGAGGUGAAUGAGAUGCAAGUGCAAAACUGGCUCGUUCAAAGGAGGCACAAUCAUAAGUAUAUUUACUUUCCAGAGCAAUGCAUAGCAGUUAAAAUGUAUAAGUGAAUAUGGCCCUUGAAGUUUAAGGGUUUAUAAUGUUGGGGUUUUUAAUGCAUAGAACUAAUAUCAUAUUACAUUUCUGUUGGGUCUAAUUAGUUGUAUUAGACUUUGGUACUCAUAAAAUUGACCCUUGUUUUACUGCAGACUGAGAUGCUACUCCUUUGUUUUAAAUAAAUCUACUGUUUGCCUUGGUUGUCUGCAGUUUCUUCAGAAUCAAGAAUCCCAGACUUAGAGGAUUUACACUUACUAUCUUAAGUAGGAAUAAAUAACAUAUAGAAGAGCAUAUUGAAAGUAGUCUACCAUAGGGGGUAAAAACACAAAAACCACUGCAUACAUGUGUAAAACCAAAUGAAAUCUAAGGUAGGACUAUAAAUAGUCUGUAUAUUAACCAUAACUCUUUAUUGCACAGUGAAAUUGUGCACAGGUGGUUUGGGUGUUCAAGUAUUUACAGAAGUCAAUUUGUUUAGCAUAUUCUUGCAGUAAAACGUUAACCAUGUUUUCUAGGCUUACAAUGUUGUUUCAAGUAUAAUUACAGCACCUUUGUAACAUGUUUUAUCCCAUACUGCUGCUGAAUAUUCCCAGUUUUGUCUCUGCUGUUUUACUUUGGGGAUUAAUUGUUGUUUCUAAUUCUUCGAGUAUUUUCACUAACAUUUGCACAGAACUUCUCUUUCACCUUGGUUGUAACAAGACUUGUUUCCUUGGCACAGUUAAAUACAAUAUUCCUUACAAGGCCAGAACUUUAAGAAUCUUAUGUAGAACAAUAAAAUGUUAUAUCUGAUUUUCAGGUUUAGGUGAACAGCUGGACACUAACUUUUUUUUUAGUGCUGUGGGAGUCAAGACAUAUCGUGGCACAAAUUUGUUUUAAAAAUGUCAGCACAUACAUAAUUUUACAGUAGAGGUAAUAAAUUUGUGGCAAAUACAUGAUUUACUAAAACAGAAAAGAAAAACACCGUUAUAUGGACAUGCAAAAAAUCAUAAAUUCCUCACAGUAACUCCAAAGUAACUAAUUUUAUGCAUCUGUCAAAAGGUCCUGCACAGUCCUAAAAAUCACAGGCAGGGAAACAGGCAAACCCAAGUCAAAUGUGCUUAUCUCUUUUUGUCAGAGAUUAGAGCUAAGGUCCAUAGUUCAUUGGGAUUAACGUUUUAAUCACCACAGAAUUUGAUAUAUAUUCAAUUUCCUCUCUUGUUCAUCUUCUCCCCUGACCUCCCCUCCCUAAAAAAGGAGACAGACACAUUAAUAUAGGCAAGGAGAUCUAAAAGACUAAGGAAAACAAUUUUUCACUGUGUUCUCGGGUGCUUAAUUGCCAAAAAUACUUGAAAGUCAAUUUGACAGGGGAGUGAAAUUGACUGGUCUCUGAUGGAAAAAGUAGAUCUUUUAUAACAAACUAGACAGAGGAAAGAAAAAUAAAGCAUUUGGAAAUUGGAACUUGGGCAAUUUUGUGCUUUUACCUUGCAUUUUGAAAUGAAUGGAUGAAAUUUUUCUUUUGGGGAAAAUGUGGCAAAGGGAAAAAGGGACCACUUGAAUGGCAAUUCGAAUUUUUCCUUUUCCUCUUGCCUUUAAACCAACAAUGUCUAAAAUACUCUCUGUCUCUACUAGAAAUCAUACAUGGCUUAAGUGGACACUCGUUUUUUAUCCACAAAGAUAUUAUAGACACCAAGCCAUUAUGGUGCUACAGUUCUCCCCAGUUUUUCAACCUUACAUGCUUGGCAAGAUACAAUUUCAUUCUUGCCUACAAAUCAGUCUCUUUGGCCAAGCAAUUGGCGAAUUCUCUUCACCAUUUCAGAUUGUUGGGUAUCAGGUGCCUGAAACUUUUUUUGUAGCCACGUUAGCAGAGCAGAAUUAUAGCUGCACUUUGAAUGAGGAGUCAGUCAGAGAGGAGGAGCUGAACUUGAGGUAGUUUAUGGCCAGACAGAGCCUGUACAAGUGCUUCUCCUACGUAUCAGCAUUAUCAUUUCUAUUCCAGCCAUAGGCUUAGUGCCCAAGUAGGUCACGGCUGGGAUGGAUUUUGACCUCGAGGCACAGUAUAAAGGAGUAGGUUAAUCCAGGAGGCAUCUGUAUGACUGCAUGAGAAAACUGCGUAUAUGUUACUGGAAGAGUUUCCUGGUUUCCAAGCCUAUGCAUCUUGUCUUCCUCUGGAUUUCAAGUUGGUUUGGACAGAAGUGCACACCAGGAGUUUCUUCUCACCCCUACUCCACAGUCUGGCUUCUGUGCAAAGGCAUCAGAGGUGUGCUGGCUGAACAGAGGUGUAGCACACACCAUUGACUCCCUUGGGUGGGUAUGUACAGGAACAGGAUUCUGGGUGGAUGGCAGCACACCAGCAGGAGAAGCAACCUCAGAAAAAACCAGACUCUCUCCCCCAAACCAAGGCACACAAACUCCUUACAUUUGAAAAUGCAGACUCCGCACGUCACACUAACUCUGUUGAACUGCACUUCAUUAAGUGUCUCAACAGCAGUGGGUGGUGUCUACUCUCCCAGCUUUGUAUGUGCACUCUGAUCAUGCAGCCACAUCACUCCUCCCUCAUUUCACAGCUUCUCUCUGCAAUAGGAUUUAUAAGAUACUGUAGAGAGUUUAAGAUUUUCUCCAUCAAAAUUUUGCGUGGUUGCAGUUGUUCUUCUGUAAUGUUUCUUCUUAUUGAUGAGUUAGGAGAUUUAAACACCCAAUGGUCACUGCCAGCAGGCACUCCCAUCAGUGUUGUGUGGCUCAUUUUGGGUUGGGCGAGUUUCAUGGGCAGUUUCUGUGGCUUUUGGGAACUCUCUCUCUCCUGGAGAAGGAAUGAAGUUUGACUUGAAAGGUGGGGAUUGUUUCAGGGAAAGAAACUGGUUUCAAGUGUGCUGUUUGUGUGUAUUGUACCGUGAUUAAUAUAAACAAGGGGUUAAAUUUCUCAUCGUCCCUUUCUAUCAUAUUUCACAUGUUUUGAAGCACAAACCCACAUGGCACAGGUGUCAAGCAAAUGGGAAAUCAAGAUAUCCCACACCUUUUUCUGCUCCUGAAUUUCCAUUUCCUUCUUUUCCCCCUUGCUCUUCUUCUGUUACUGGUUUGUUUAAAUGAUGUUCUCUGCAAGGCAGGACAAGAAAUUUCAUUGUCUCUGUAAAAUACUUAGCACUUCAACUUGACCAAAAUAAAAUAUAGCUGUACCCCUAAAUACAGUAUCACAGAGAUUAAUGAGCUCAGUAACUGCAAAAGAAGUAGCAGUGGAUUUGUGAGGAAUUGGAUCCUGUGUCUCAGGUCUCUCAAGGAGUGAGAAGGUUAAUUAAACCCUGGCUCGUUGUUAUAACAUUAAAUCCUAAAACAUGAUGUCAGUCUUUGGGUCCCUACUGGGACAACCCUUAUUGAAAUUCUUUCAAAUAUUUAAGCAGCAGGACAAAGGAAGGAAAGCAGUUAAAGUGUAUCCCUAAUUGCCUUAUGUUUUGAUGGAAUGUCCAUUACGGGGAGAACUCCACGUUUUAAAAUGUUCCUGCUGAGCUUGAAAAUUGUGUCAACCAUCCUAUCUGGGGGAGGCAGAGAGAGAAAGGAAUAUAAACAGAAAGAAUGGUGCUGAUGAAAGGAAAUAAUCACCAGCAGGCAAGGGUGUGAUAGGAGGACAAUAAAACUCCUAUGCCAGGUUUUGGCCAGGAUGAAGACACAACCAACAGUAGUGUCCACAGUGCAAUUUGAUUCCCCCUCUCCAGUGUUGUGUGACUGUCUGAUGGCCUGUAAGAUAAGGGGGGCCCAGGAGUACCGUGGGAGAUCCUGGGAUCCCAGGAUUUGCUAGCAAUAACAGUCAUGAAUGUAAAAUGUCUUGUAUCCCUUAAUUCACAUAAAAUCCAAAUAAAGAUCUUCCAUGAAAAA